GUAGGUGAACCUGCGGAAGGAUCAUUAACACGUAUCCAACGUUAAACCCCCCUGUGAACUUUUAUCGUGCUCUUGCAACCCGCAAAUCAACAGCAAUCCUGGUAAAUCAGUCGAGAAAGUAUUGAUUCAGGACCUCUGUCUUGUGAGAAGUUACAGUUGCAAUUGAGCGCUCGAGGCAAGUGGCUUGGUUUCCCAACGCAAUUGGUGUCUGAAAGUGUCGCUGGUUGUUGAAGGAUAACGCUUUACGAUC
rnacentral:misc_RNA from 1 species